GAAGAGGAGUGAUGAGGAACAGAAGAAGAAGAAGAAGAAGAGCAGGUGCAUUAAUUCAGAAGUGAAGGCCUGGAUGCACAGCUGACUCUCUGGAUCACUGUGACACUGAAGAAAACAUGAAGAGUCUCUGUGAAGUUCUGCAGUUACAAGGGAAACUAAUGAUGUGGAUCCAGACUUAAUAUCCUGUACAGGGCCUCUGAGGCUCCCACACUCCGUCGCAGUUUGCCGCCUGGAAUCCACAGUCGUCAGGCAGAUUGGUAGAAAUAAAUCCCACGUUUAUUCAUUUACUGGAGCGACUCUAACACUCCCAAACACCUUGGAGCCAGCACUCUCACAUCUGAGGAACAAAGUCAAACACUCAUCUCCCUCCUGCUUUCACCUCCACGGCAGGAAGUUAAGAGCUUACCUCCAUCAGCCUGCAAAGACUGUGAACACCAGGAGGAGGUGUCUCUGCCUUUCACUGGUCUCUGCUCAUCACUCUCACUGUGAUCAGUUUCAUUGAAAAAACACGUCUACAUGUGCAGUGACAACACAACCCUACAGCACCUGUCUCAGCACGGUCACACUUUAAGUGUUUUUAUACUCUGACUCUAAGGCAACGAGCAAACUGUCAAAUAUCUUAAA